AUUGAACGCUGGCGGCGUGCCUAAUACAUGCAAGUCGAGCGAAUGGAUUAAGAGCUUGCUCUUAUGAAGUUAGCGGCGGACGGGUGAGUAACACGUGGGUAACCUGCCCAUAAGACUGGGAUAACUCCGGGAAACCGGGGCUAAUACCGGAUAACAUUUUGAACCGCAUGGUUCGAAAUUGAAAGGCGGCUUCGGCUGUCGCUUAUGUAUGGACCCGCGUCGCAUUAGCUAGUUGGUGAGGUAACGGCUCACCAAGGCAACGAUGCGUAGCCGACCUGAGAGGAUGAUCGGCCACACUGGGACUGAGACACGGCCCAGACUCCUACGGGAGGCAGCAGUAGGGAAUCUUCCGCAAUGGACGAAAGUCUGACGGAGCAACGCCGCGUGAGUGAUGAAGGCUUUCGGGUCGUAAAACUCUGUUGUUAGGGAAGAACAAGUGCUAGUUGAAUAAGCUGGCACCUUGACGGUACCUAACCAGAAAGCCACGGCUAACUACGUGCCAGCCGCCGCGGUAA
rnacentral:rRNA from 1 species